UACGUAGGUCCCGAGCGUUGUCCGGAUUUAUUGGGCGUAAAGCGAGCGCAGGUGGUUUAAUAAGUCUGAUGUAAAAGGCAGUGGCUCAACCAUUGUGUGCAUUGGAAACUGUUAGACUUGAGUGCAGUAGAGGAGAGUGGAAUUCCAUGUGUAGCGGUGAAAUGCGUAGAUAUAUGGAGGAACACCGGUGGCGAAAGCGGCUCUCUGGACUGUAACUGACACUGAGGCUCGAAAGCGUGGGGAUCAAACAGG
rnacentral:rRNA from 1 species